rnacentral:rRNA from 1 species
GAUGAACGCUGGCGGCGUGCCUAAUACAUGCAAGUCGAGCGAACAGACGAGGAGCUUGCUCCUCUGACUUUAGCGGCGGACGGGUGAGUAACACGUGGAUAACCUACCUAUAAGACUGGGAUAACUUCGGGAAACCGGAGCUAAUACCGGAUAAUAUAUUUAACCGCAUGGUUCAAUAGUGAAAGACGGUUUUGCUUUCACUUAUAGAUGGAUCCGCGCCGCAUUAGCUAGUUGGUAAGGUAACGGCUUACCAAGGCGACGAUGCGUAGCCGACCUGAGAGGGUGAUCGGCCACACUGGAACUGAGACACGGUCCAGACUCCUACGGGAGGCAGCAGUAGGGAAUCUUCCGCAAUGGGCGAAAGCCUGACGGAGCAACGCCGCGUGAGUGAUGAAGGUCUUCGGAUCGUAAAACUCUGUUAUUAGGGAAGAACAAAUGUGUAAGUAACUAUGCACGUCUUGACGGUACCUAAUCAGAAAGCCACGGCUAACUACGUG